AGAGAUAGAAAGUUACUUCGGUACAUCGGUGACAGGUGGUGCAUGGUUGUCGUCAGCUCGUGUCGUGAGAUGUUGGGUUAAGUCCGCAACGAGCGCAACCCCUAUUGUUAGUUGCCAUCAUUCAGUUGGGCACUCUAGCGAGACUGCCGGUAAUAAACCGGAGGAAGGUGGGGAUGACGUCAAAUCAUCAUGCCCCUUAUGACCUGGGCUACACACGUGCUACAAUGGUUGGUACAACGAGUUGCGGGUCGGUGACGGCGAGCUAAUCUCUUAAAGCCAAUCUCAGUUCGGAUUGUAGGCUGCAACUCGCCUACAUGAAGUCGGAAUCGCUAGUAAUCGCGGAUCAGCACGCCGCGGUGAAUACGUUCCCGGGCCUU
rnacentral:rRNA from 1 species